rnacentral:misc_RNA from 1 species
CGAAAUGCGAUACGUAAUGUGAAUUGCAAAUUCAGUGAAUCAUCGAGUCUUUGAACGCACAUUGCGCCCCCUGGUAUUCCGGGGGGCAUGCCUGUCCGAGCGUCAUUUCUGCCCUCAAGCACGGCUUGUGUGUUGGGCCCCGUCCUCCGAUCCCGGGGGACGGGCCCGAAAGGCAGCGGCGGCACCGCGUCCGGUCCUCGAGCGUAUGGGGCUUUGUCACCCGCUCUGUAGGCCCGGCCGGCGCUUGCCGAUCAACCCAAAUUUUUAUCCAGGUUGACCUCGGAUCAGGUAGGGAUACCCGCUGAACUUAAGC